rnacentral:rRNA from 1 species
AGAGUUUGAUCCUGGCUCAGGAUGAACGCUGGCGGCGUGCUUAACACAUGCAAGUCGAGCGAUAAUUAGUUUCUGGAGGCUUCGGCCAAAGGAAACUGAGGAAAGCGGCGGACGGGUGAGUAACGCGUGGGUAACCUACCUUAUACAGGGGGAUAACAUAUUGAAAAGUAUGCUAAUACCGCAUAAGCGCACGAAAUCGCAUUGGAGAGGUGGUAAAAACUCCGGUGGUAUAAGAUGGACCCGCGUCUGAUUAGCUAGUAGGUGAGGUAACGGCUCACCUAGGCAACGAUCAGUAGCCGACCUGAGAGGGUGAUCGGCCACAUUGGGACUGAGACACGGCCCAAACUCCUACGGGAGGCAGCAGUGGGGAAUAUUGCACAAUGGGGGAAACCCUGAUGCAGCGACGCCGCGUGAAGGAAGAAGGUUUUCGGAUCGUAAAACUUCUAUCAGCAGGGAAGAAAAUGACGGUACCUGACUAAGAAGCCCCGGCUAACUACGUGCCAGCAGCCGCGGUAAUACGUAGGGGGCAAGCGUUAUCCGGAAUCACUGGGCGUAAAGGGAGCGUAGGCGGCUUGACAAGCCAGAGGUGAAAGGCAAUAGCUUAACUAUUGUAAGCCUUUGGAACUGUCGAACUUGAGUGCAGGAGAGGAAAGUGGAAUUCCUAGUGUAGCGGUGAAAUGCGUAGAUAUUAGGAGGAACACCAGUGGCGAAGGCGACUUUCUGGACUGUAACUGACGCUGAGGCUCGAAAGCGUGGGGAGCGAACAGGAUUAGAUACCCUGGUAGUCCACGCUGUAAACGAUGAAUACUAGGUGUCUGGUGUCAAAGCUAGGUGCCGCAGCUAACGCAUUAAGUAUUCCGCCUGGGGAGUACGCACGCAAGUGUGAAACUCAAAGGAAUUGACGGGGACCCGCACAAGCAGCGGAGCAUGUGGUUUAAUUCGAAGCAACGCGAAGAACCUUACCAGGUCUUGACAUCCCUCUGACCGGUCCGUAACGGGACCUUCCCUUCGGGGCAGAAGAGACAGGUGGUGCAUGGUUGUCGUCAGCUCGUGUCGUGAGAUGUUGGGUUAAGUCCCGCAACGAGCGCAACCCUUGCCUUUAGUUGCCAUCAGGUUAUGCUGGGCACUCUAGAGGGACUGCCGGUGACAAACCGGAGGAAGGUGGGGAUGACGUCAAAUCAUCAUGCCCCUUAUGAUCUGGGCUACACACGUGCUACAAUGGUCGGUACAACGGGCAGCGAAGUCGAGAGAUGGAGCGAAUCCUAAAAAGCCGAUCCCAGUUCGGAUUGUGGGCUGAAACUCGCCCACAUGAAGUUGGAGUUGCUAGUAAUCGCGGAUCAGAAUGCCGCGGUGAAUGCGUUCCCGGGUCUUGUACACACCGCCCGUCACACCAUGGAAGUUGGGGGGACCCGAAGCCAGUGAUCCAACCGUAAGGAGGAAGCUGUCGAAGGUAAAACCAAUGACUGGGGUGAAGUCGUAACAAGGUAACC